rnacentral:tRNA from 1 species
AGGCGAUUAGUUUAACUGGCAAAAUGUCGGUCUCCAAAACCGAUGUCACUGGUUCAAGUCCGGUAUCGUCUG